CGCCGCCCCCUCCCGAGGCCCGUUUCAGGUUGGUAAAUUCUUUCGGGGAACGAGCCUGGCAGGCUUCCUACAGCCAAGUCAUCCCGUGGAAACCGCCGCGCGGGAGCGGUCCCCGGGUGCGUUCGCCGCAGCUCCCUAGCGGGACCGGGGCCCCGAACUCAGUCACUGAGUCGCCUUCCCGGUGCAUAAAGUGGGACGCGCCGUGUUUGCUGGGACUCCAGGCCGGUGACCGCGAGCGUGUCCGUGCUAAUGGAGUCAUCAAGUGCUUAGGCAGGAGGGGCGUCGGGAGGACUCCUGAGCCUCAUAGUGAGCACGUGGCCAGGAAACCGAGGCCCGGGACGGGAAAGGACUUUGCUCUCAGACACAGCAAGUGUGCAGCGCAGGCUGGACUCCAGCGCAGGCCGGCCGGACUCCCAGCCCUGGGGGUGAGGGGUGGAAAGCUGGCAGCCCUGGGGGUGAGGGGUGGAAAGCUGGCAGCCCUGGGGGUGAGGGGUGGAAAGCUGGCAGCCCUGGGGGUGAGGGGUGGAAAGCUGGCAGCCCUGGGGGCAAGGGGUGGAAAGCUGGCUUAGCAGAGAGACGUCCCCUCCUGGCGUGGGCCACUGGGACUCUGCCUGGAUGAACCCUGGAACAAGGGAUCACAGCCCUCUGCUUUGCUCCCUCAACGCUGAUUCCUGUAUCUCUUCCCCCAUAAAAAUGUAAAAUGUUUAUUAGAGCAUUUAUUAAAGAACAUUUGGAGUUUCUUUUUCCUUUUUAUUGAGGAAAUAUAUACAUAACAUAAAAUUUACCAUGUUAACCGUUUUUAAGUGUAUAAUUAAGUGGCAUUCAGUACGUUUACUUUGUGCAACCACACCACCAUCCACCUCCAGAACUUUUCAUCUUCUAAACUGGAUAGAGUUUCUUACUUUUAAUUGUAAAGCUGAAUUGAACCUCAUGUAUAAUUGAAAACAAAAUUCCUCCCAAAUUAACCAAAAAUUCUUCCCACAUAUAGGGGAGGGGGAUUUGACCCUCAGAAAAGAAGUACAGGCCACAGGCAACCCUUUGGGGCUCAUCUUUGGCCUUGUCUUGAGCCCAAAUACGAACCUGUCUUAUGCCCAGGGCAGCUCAGAGGAAGUAGGUUGGCUCAGGGCUUUUUUAGUCUCAGGGCUGAGGGUGAGAAUACUGCAGCCAGUCCCAGCCCUCAUCUCACUCACUCUCCAGAUGUUCAGGGUCAAGUGGCAAAUCAGUUGGAGGUCAAGCCAGGCCUCCCAACUGGGCCAUUUCCUGGGCCAAGGGGCAGGUCAACACCAGGAAGCCUCUCCUUCCGGCUCAGAAAAGUCCACUCAUUUCUGCCUCUGGCCCCAGGCUAAGCACUCCUCUAUCCAUUAUCUCAUGCCCAGCCUUCUGGGGGCCAUUGGAGGCCAAGAGGGCAGGGAAUGGGAGGAAGUGGCUGAGUCAAAAUUUGAACCAAGGGCAUGGUGUUUCUCAAUGCAGGCAGCACUGGCAUUCUCAUUGAGAUGAUUCAUCAUGGGACGGGACUGUCCAUGCCUUUCAGAUGUUUGAUAUCCCUAGCCCUGCCCACUGAAUCCGAGGAGUAUCUCCCAGUCAUUGUGACACCCAAAACUAUCCCAUGUAGUAUCCUAGGGAUCAGGAGGAGGGAGACCCUACUCCUCUCACGGGGUAGGAAUUUUUGUGGUUAGUUUAGCUGCCAUGGCACACAGUGGGGCUCAAUAAAUGUGCUUCCCUUUCUUCUGGAAGCGGGUAGUUCUUGUCAGGGAGAUGUGAAACCCUUGGUCCUGGAAGCUCUGCUGUGAGGCAGGGCGCUCACCCGUGUCUCAUCUGGGACCUUGAGCAAGUCAUUUACUCUUCUCCAGCCUCUCGUCCCCACUCCAAGCUCUUGGAGCAAUCUGUACCCUCUAAAAUGAGAAGUUUGCAGUUGAAGUUUGCAGACCUGAGGAUACACUGUGUGAGGCCACAAGGGGGCAGCAAUGGGCCAUAAUGACCUUGCCCUACCCAAAGGAGCAGGAAAGGGACCUCCUCUGGUGUCUGAGGAAGGGGCCACAUGUGGCUUCUAAGAGGGUCUGCCCACCAAUCCCCCAGCAGCAUGGUGCUGCCUAGCAGACUCUGGGCCCUGACAAGCAAUUUCAGAAAGACAAUCCUGGUUGUUUAUCCCUAGGCAGAGGGCUACUCCCUCAGAGCCUGUUUCCCCACAUGUAACAUGGAAAUAGUGACAUGAAUCACAUAGGCUCCCUCCUUCAUAGGUGGGGGGAUCCAUGAGGUACCUGAGGGGAGGGAGGAGUGAAUUUACAAACUCUAGAGUGCAGUAGAUUUGUGAGGUUAUGCUGGAAUGCCCAAGGACACUUGGACAGCUUGUGAUGUCCAUCAGUCAUCACAGCCCCGCGGUGUUUCUCUUCCUUUUCACACUACUGGCUUCCCCGGUGACCAAGACGACUGGCUGAGCAGUGGGCCUGCCACUUAUCGCCAGCAAUUGAGGGAGACAGAGGAUGUGGACACUUUUCCCCUGGAAAACGUUACCACUGAUUGUGGCAGGAAGUGACACCAGAUGACUUCUGAGGCUUGGCCAUAAAAGGUGACACAGCUUCCACCUGGUUCACCAUGGAACACUCGCUCCUGGAAUUCAGCAUGAGGAGCCAGACCACGAGGGAUAGGUGUUCUGCCAUCUGACCUCCCAGCUGACAGCCAGCAUCAACCACCAGGUGUGGGAGAGCUUGAGCCACAACCAGCCCGCUGAGCCCAUUAACCCCAGAACUGAGAGAGAGGAAUAUAAAGGAUCAUUGUUUUAAGGCAA